UGCUAAACCUGACAGUAGUGGAAAUACUUUUUGAUUAAAACGUCAUUUUUCAUUUCAAACUUCAAAAAGAUUGCAACGGAUGGCAGGGCUGCCG
rnacentral:sRNA from 1 species